rnacentral:lncRNA from 10 species
CUGGUUAGACCUUCCCCACAAAGCUGGUGUCUGCAGACCCCUCACAGGCACCUGUUGGCCAGUCUUGCCUACCCCAGCUCACAGAGACCUGUGAUGGAAUUCUGGUCAGCUCUUUGUUUCCAGGUACUUUAGACAUUUGAGAGAUUUCACACGAUGAAAAUUUAUGUCUCUGGUAUCUCCUGAAAUUGAAACAGAAUGACAAC